rnacentral:rRNA from 1 species
AUUGAACGCUGGCGGCAGGCCUAACACAUGCAAGUCGAACGAGUGGCGGACGGGUGAGUAAUGUCUGGGAAAAUGCCCGAUGGAGGGGGCUAACUACUGGAAACGGUAGCUAAUACCGACUCACAUCGGAUGUGCCCAGAUGGGAUUAGCUAGUAGGGGGGGUAACGGCUCACCUAGGCGACACACCCUAGCUGGUCUGAGAGGAUGAACAGCCACACGGGAACUGAGACACGGUCCAGACGCCUACGGGAGGCAGCAGUGGGGAAUAUUGCACAAUGGGCGCAAUCCUGAUGCAGCCAUGCCGCGUGUAUGAAGAAGGCCUUCGGGUUGUAAAGUACUUUCAGCGGGGAGGCGUUACCCGCAGAAGAAGCACCGGCUAACUCCGUGCCAGCAGCCGCGGUAAUUC